rnacentral:rRNA from 1 species
UACGAAGGGGGCUAGCGUUGCUCGGAAUGACUGGGCGUAAAGGGCGCGUAGGCGGAUGGCACAGUCAGAUGUGAAAUUCCCGGGCUUAACCUGGGGGCUGCAUUUGAUACGUGUGAUCUAGAGUGAGGAAGAGGGUCGUGGAAUUCCCAGUGUAGAGGUGAAAUUCGUAGAUAUCGAGAGGAACACCGGUGGCGAAGGCGGCCAACUGGACGAGUACUGACGCUGAGACACGAAAGCGUGGGGAGCAAACAGG